rnacentral:rRNA from 1 species
GAUGAACGCUGGCGGCGUGCCUAAUACAUGCAAGUCGAGCGAACGGACGAGAAGCUUGCUUCUCUGAUGUUAGCGGCGGACGGGUGAGUAACACGUGGAUAACCUACCUAUCAGACUGGGAUAACUUCGGGAAACCGUAGCUAAUACCGGAUAAUAUUUUGAACCGCAUGGUUCAAAAGUGAAAGACGGUCUUGCUUUCACUUAUAGAUGGAUCCGCGCUGCAUUAGCUAGUUGGUAAGGUAACGGCUUACCAAGGCAGCGAUGCAUAGCCGACCUGAGAGGGGGGUCGGCGACCCCAGAACGGAGACGAGGCGCAGACGACUACGGGAGGCAGCAGUAGUGAAUCUUCCGCAAUAGGCGGAAGCCUGACGGAGCAACGCCGCGUGAGGGGGGAAGGUCUUCGGAGCGUAAAACUCUGUUAUUAGGGAAGAACAUAUGUGGAAGUGACUGUGGGCAGCUUGACGGUACCUAGUCAGAAAGCCACGGCUAACUACGUG